UACGGGAGGCAGCAGUGGGGAAUAUUGCACAAUGGGCGCAAGCCUGAUGCAGCCAUGCCGCGUGUAUGAAGAAGGCCUUCGGGUUGUAAAGUACUUUCAGUCGUGAGGAAGGUGUUAAGGUUAAUAACCUUAGCAAUUGACGUUAGCGACAGAAGAAGCACCGGCUAACUCCGUGCCAGCAGCCGCGGUAAUACGGAGGGUGCGAGCGUUAAUCGGAAUUACUGGGCGUAAAGGGCACGCAGGCGGUUAAUUAAGUUGGAUGUGAAAUCCCCGGGCUUAACCUGGGAAUGGCAUUCAAGACUGGUUAGCUAGAGUCUUGUAGAGGGGGUAGAAUUCCAUGUGUAGCGGUGAAAUGCGUAGAGAUGUGGAGGAAUACCGGUGGCGAAGGCGGCCCCUGGGACAAAGACUGACGCUCAUGUGCGAAAGCGUGGGGAGCAAACGAGGAUUAGAU
rnacentral:rRNA from 1 species